rnacentral:rRNA from 1 species
AUUGAACGCUGGCGGCAGGCCUAACACAUGCAAGUCGAGCGCGAAAGGCUUUCGGGCUGAGUAGAGCGGCGGACGGGUGAGUAACGCGUAGGAAUCUACCUGGUAGUGGGGGACAACUUGGGGAAACUCAAGCUAAUACCGCAUACGCCCUAUGGGGGAAAGCGGGGGACCUUCGGGCCUCGCGCUAUCAGAUGAGCCUGCGUAGGAUUAGCUAGUUGGUGGGGUAAAGGCUCACCAAGGCGACGAUCCUUAGCUGGUCUGAGAGGAUGAUCAGCCACACUGGGACUGAGACACGGCCCAGACUCCUACGGGAGGCAGCAGUGGGGAAUAUUGCGCAAUGGGGGCAACCCUGACGCAGCCAUGCCGCGUGUGUGAAGAAGGCCUUCGGGUUGUAAAGCACUUUAAGUGGGGAGAAAAGGGUAGCGGUU